rnacentral:lncRNA from 1 species
AGCCAAUUGCUCUUGGAUUAAAGCUAAGUUGUCUUGGGUGAUUCUACGUUUAUGGAACAGGUCUCCAAACACACUUCUAUUCCAAGUUUUAAGUUGGUGCUUAAAGGUAUUACAGCAAGUUUGAAUCUGCUGGGUAGCAUUUCCAACAUAAGAGCAAUUCCAAACUUGGGAAGCGACUUGAUCAAAAUCCUUGUAGGCUAGCCACAUGGCUUCAAACUUAAAAGAUUUAGGGAUUCUUUUCAAGGAAUGGUUGCACUUUAGGAAAAUGGGACCAUGGUUAGAUCCCACAAUGGGUAAGUUUUGGAGUUUAGAAUGAGGGUGAAGUCUC